rnacentral:rRNA from 1 species
UACGAAGGGGGCUAGCGUUGCUCGGAAUCACUGGGCGUAAAGGGUGCGUAGGCGGGUCUUUAAGUCAGGGGUGAAAUCCUGGAGCUCAACUCCAGAACUGCCUUUGAUACUGAGGAUCUUGAGUUCGGGAGAGGUGAGUGGAACUGCGAGUGUAGAGGUGAAAUUCGUAGAUAUUCGCAAGAACACCAGUGGCGAAGGCGGCUUCCUGGACCGACACUGACGCUGAGGCGCGAAAGCUAGGGGAGCAAACGGGG